rnacentral:lncRNA from 1 species
GCGGACUGGGGAACCCAGACCUGCCGAGCGACGUGGGCGAGCGGUGACCUGGACCACGGCGCAGACGCGGGCGAGCUGCGGCUCGGACGCCAGCGGACACGCGGGCGAGUGCGCGGCCUCUCCGUCCAACGUGCUCGUUGCCGGCAUCUCCAGCGCCCGGCCGUGCCCCGACGGCCUGACCUGGAUCACUUCCUGGCCGCCUCCCUGUCCGGCGGCUCCCCUCGGUCCGGCUCCCACUUCCCCGUCCAGGAUGCUGGCUCCGAAGCAACAUCUGUGGUCGCGCGGGACCCAUCCCAGGACCUCCCCGGAACGCGCCGGGAUGGGACGCUCGGACCCAGACCACAGCCCCCGGCCGCGGCAGGGCGCCGGGAUUUGAUCCCGCGUCGCCCUGGGGGGACAGAAGCGUCCCGGAGUUGGGAGGGGAUUUGAAGCCUAUGGUCCUGACUUCCACCCCGUGGCUGAGGGCGAGGCUGCGGGGCCGGGGUUAGGAGCAGAAGUCCCUAUUUCCGAACCGUCUGGGAGGAGAGCCGGGGGAUGCCCAUCACGGCAGUUUAGGGAGAGAGAGGGAAGGACUCUGCCGCUUUGGAGGCUAGGUCAUAGGCAGCUGGCGGUGUCUCAGCGCGAGUGACCAAUCCUUGUGGUUGGGAAAUGUGUCGUGGGCGUCCGUGGGCUCGUUUUGCCUUUGAGAUUAAAUAGGAAAUUUUCCCAGGACGAGUUUACCGGAGCACCUUGGGAGUUGGUUUUUGGCUUGGAGAGCUACUUUCCCCUCUCUAAAUCUAAAACUGCUUUGUUUUUCCUUAUUAUUUUUUUCGAGAUGGGAUCUCACAAUGUUACCCAGGCAGGUGUCAAACUCCUGGCCUUAAGCGAUCCUCCCGCCUCGGCCUCCCAGAGUGCUGGGAUUAGAGACGUGAGCCAUUGCGCGGCUUUAACUGCUGUUAGUCUGUUCCUUAAAAUUGUUGUACCAGGAAACUUGCCAGAGAUGCAAGAAGAUGUGAUUAUAUUGUUAACAUUUAAUGAUAAAUAACAUUUUGCUU